rnacentral:rRNA from 1 species
UACGUAGGGGGCAAGCGUUGUCCGGAAUCAUUGGGCGUAAAGCGCGCGUAGGCGGCCCGGUAAGUCCGUUGUGAAAGUCAAAGGCUCAACCUUUGAAUGCCGACGGAUACUGCCGGGCUAGAGUCCGGAAGAGGCGAGUGGAAUUCCUGGUGUAGCGGUGGAAUGCGUAGAGAUGUGCAGGAACACCAAUGGCGAAGGCAAUCUUCUGGACGAAAACUGACGCUGAGACACGAAAGCCAAGGUAGCAAACAGG